rnacentral:rRNA from 1 species
CCUACGGGUGGCAGCAGUGGGGAAUAUUGCUCAAUGGGCGAAACCCUGAUCCAGCCACGCCGCGUGAGUGAAGAAGUCUCUCGGUAUGUUAAGCUCUAUUAGCCGGGGAGAAAAUGACGGUACCUGAUUAAGACGCCCCGGCUACCUAAGUGCAAGCAGCCGCGGGAAUCCGUAGGGUGCAAGCGUUAUCCGGGUUUACUCGGGGUGAAGGGCGGGUAGACGGGAGCACAAGUCUGGAGUGAAAUGCCGGGGGUUAACCCCGGAACGGCUGUUGAAACUGUGGAGCUUGAGGGCAGGAGAGGAAAGUGGAAUGACUGGUGUAGCGGUGAAAUGCGUAGAUAUUAGGCGGAAAACCAGUGGCGAAGGCGG